CUUUAAUGGAGAGUUUGAUCCUGGCUCAGGACGAACGCUGGCGGCGUGCCUAAUACAUGCAAGUCGAGCGGGUUUUACCUUCGGGUAAAGCUAGCGGCGGACGGGUGAGUAACACGUAGGCAACCUGCCUGUAAGACUGGGAUAACUACCGGAAACGGUAGCUAAGACCGGAUAAGUGAUCUUCUCGCAUGAGAAGAUCAAGAAACAC
rnacentral:rRNA from 1 species